rnacentral:rRNA from 1 species
CUCUUUAAGAAAAAUAUAACUUAAAGUAAAGCCUGCUCAAUCCAAAUUACGCAAUAGCCGCAGUUCAACUGUGCUAAGGUAGCAUAAUAAUUAGCCUCUCAAUUAGGGGAUAGAAUGAACGGCUAAACGAGGCUAUAACUGUCUCAUGAAUUAACAGAUAAACUAAUAUAUCCGUAAAAACGCUGAUAUAAAAAAGUAGGACGACAAGACCCUGACGAACUCAUCAUUUAGCUGGGGCGGCUCAUCAAAAAUACCUCGCAAAAUAUUCACACAAAAAACUAAUAAAAUUAAAACAAGUUACCGCAGGGAUAACAGCGCAAUUUCCUUCAAAAGCUCAAAUUAAAAAGGAAGAUUACGACCUCGAUGUUGAAUUAAUUUACCUAAAUUUAGCGCAAAAGCAUUUCUAAGGUGGUCUGUUCGACCAUUAAAUAAUU